ACUAUUUUGGCAGAUAAAAUGUAAUGGUUUUAGAAAUCAUUAAUAUAUAACAUAUAAUUAUAUAUAUAGUA
rnacentral:tRNA from 1 species